ACACUGAUGGUGAAGCGGUUAUCAUGCUUGCCUUCCACUUAUAUCUGAUAGCACAUGAUAUUAGGUAAUAAGCAAGUGGCAGGGGUUUGACUCCCCUUCGGUGUA